UGUGUGCCAUGGUUGCAUGUGUUAUGUCUGUGUGUGUGUGUAGUAUGUGAGUGUGUGUGCCAUGGUUGCAUGUGUUAUGACUGUGUGUGUGUAGUAUGUGAGUAUGUGUGUCAUGGUUGCAUGUGUUAUGACUGUGUAUCUGUAGUAAGUGAGUAUGUGUGUGUCAUGGUUGCAUUUGUUAAGACUGUGUGUGUGUGUAUAGCAUGUGAGUAUGUGUGCCAUGGUUGCAUGUGUUAUGACUGUGUGUGUAUAGUAUGUGAGUGUGUGUGCCAUGGUUGCAUGUGUAAUGACUGUGUGUGUAUAGUAUGUGAGUGUGUGUGCCAUGGUUGCAUGUGUAAUGACAGUGUGUGUAUAGUAUUUGAGUGUGUGUGCCAUGGUGUGCAUAUGGAAGUGAUAGGACAAGUUCAUGAGGUCAGCUUUCUCCUUCCACUUUUAAGUGGGUUCAGGAGAAUCAGGUCACCUGGCUUGUGUAGCAAGUGACUUACCUGCUAAGUGGUCUCACUGGUCCCUGGAAUGUUCUUAUAAUGAAAGAGUGUUGUUGGAUCUUGUCAAAUGCUUUUUCUGCAUCAAUUCAAA
rnacentral:lncRNA from 1 species